CAGUCGCCGCGGUAAUACGUAGGGUGCGAGCGUUAAUCGGAAUUACUGGGCGUAAAGCGUGCGCAGGCGGUUCGUUAAGACAGAUGUGAAAUCCCCGGGCUUAACCUGGGAACUGCAUUUGUGACUGGCGAGCUAGAGUAUGGCAGAGGGGGGUAGAAUUCCACGUGUAGCAGUGAAAUGCGUAGAGAUGUGGAGGAAUACCGAUGGCGAAGGCAGCCCCCUGGGCCAAUACUGACGCUCAUGCACGAAAGCGUGGGGAACAAACAGGAUUAGAUACCCCCGUAGUCCCUGUCUCUUAUAA
rnacentral:rRNA from 1 species